AUGGACCUGGAUACGGCGGCGACGAAGCGAGAAUCCGAGGCCGAGGCAGAUGAGCCACGGCGGAAGAAGGCGGCGGGGGCGACGAAGACGGUGAAGGUGGUGCCGUGGCUGAUGGAUUCGUUCGAGCAGGUGUUCGAUGAGGAUAGGCUGAAGCAUGCGGUGGCGAGGCUGAACCAGGCGAACCCCGGCGCGCCGCCGGUCGUGCCGGAGGAGCUCACCGAGGAGAGGCGGGCGGCGCUGUUGCAGGAAGAUACGGAGUGGAGGAGGAAGAACGGGGACAAGGAGCUCGCGCCGCGCGGAAAUACGGAGGACUUCGAGGGCUUCGACUUCAAGCGCAACACGCGUAUCCCUGCCAUGUGUUUCGCGGACAACCCUAUGCCUGAUGACACCAAGCACAGGCUUACUGUGCAGAUCUUUACUGUCAAGGAUCCAUAUUUAGUACUGGUAGGUCCUACCCGUGUCGUGGUCUAUAAUGGUCUCUACACCAGCAAGCAUAGUACAUUGGAGUUAACAUGUGGCCUCGUGGUGUCUUCCGUUGAGGCCAUCAUCGCUGUGCAGAUCGUCAAGGGGUCAUGGCCAGAUGGGUCCCGAGGCCAGCUUACUGCAUGUAUCGGCAGUGUGGGUGACAUGAAUGUCAUGCUGCUCGACUCUGGAGAAGAGAAGGCGCUUGUUGUUGCUGACGAUGGCACAAUUGAGCUGUCGCGUCGUGUUGUGUCUGUUGAGAGGUUUGGGCAACUGAUAGUCCGCGGCGUGGUGAGUCGAGGUGGUCGUGACCAUGAUGAGGUUCUGGCAGAGGGUAAGGCAUCCUUUGCGCCUCUGGAUGCAGGUCAAAGCCGUGGCAUGCUUGAUCUCGGUGGCAUGUGUAAGCUGGAAAUCACCGUCACCUGGUCGCGUAUCCUGUGGUCUACCUCCAACCGGUUAAUCAAGGGAGGCCCUUUAGCAGGAGAUUGA
rnacentral:rRNA from 1 species